GAUGAACGCUGGCGGCGUGCCUAAUACAUGCAAGUCGAGCGAAUGGAUUAAGAGCUUGCUCUUAUGAAGUUAGCGGCGGACGGGUGAGUAACACGUGGGUAACCUGCCCAUAAGACUGGGAUAACUCCGGGAAACCGGGGCCAAUACCGGAUAACAUUUUGAACCGCAAGGUUCGAAAUUGAAAGGCGGCUUCGGCCGUCACUUAUGGAUGGACCGGCGUCGCAUUAGCCAGUUGGUGAGGUAACGGCUCACCAAGGCAACGAUGCGUAGGCGACCUGAGAGGGUGAUCGGCCACACUGGGACUGAGACACGGCCCAGACUCCUACGGGAGGCAGCAGUAGGGAAUCUUCCGCAAUGGACGAAAGUCUGACGGAGCAACGCCGCGUGAGUGAUGAAGGCUUUCGGGUCGUAAAAUUCUGUUGUUAGGGAAGAACAAGUGCUAGUUGAAUAAGCUGGCACCUUGACGGUACCUAACCAGAAAGCCACGGCUAACUACGUGCCAGCCGCCGCGGUAA
rnacentral:rRNA from 1 species